rfam:Gossypium raimondii Chr08_contig_1315, whole genome shotgun sequence.
UGUUAAAGUUUUCAUGCAUUUCUACCAUUAAAAAUUGGUGUAACUGAUAGAAUAAUCAGACAAUUACACGUGACGUGUCAUGUGUACCUCAUGUUGAGGUACAAGGACCAGUUUUUAACAGUAGAAUGGAAGAAAUUUUUAAUA